UUAGUACACACCCACCACCAGCUGUCUCUGCACUGGUUAAAUUCCUCUUACACCCAGAAACAAAAUUUGGAAUUGAACUUGUCCUCAAGGACGUGUGAAUUGUAUUAGCAUCCAAGUGAAAGUAAAAAGGUCCAUGUGCUGGUUGAAGAGCAAACAGUAAGCCUGAUAACUGAAGCUGGUUUUCUGUUACUUGUAAAUCAAGGAGUCCUAAAACAAAAAAUGGAUGUCACAAAAUAUUGACCGCAGCCUACCUGUUUUUAUACUGGUCAACAUCGCUGUGGAAGACAUUUAUGGUACCAUCUCAUACUUCGCUGCUACCCAAGUGGGAACACUACAUCUGGUUUGAAAAUGAGAAUCGGUGAACCUCUCUAGACUCCGAAGCAAGGUGCUUACCACAUUUAUACAAAAGGAAACAGAAAUUCAACGUCUUGGAAAUCUCAAAUUAUCUUCAAAAU